CCCGCUGAACUUAAGCAUAUCAAUAAGCGAAGGAAAAGAAACCAACAGGGAUUGCCUCAGUAACGGCGAGUGAAGCGGCAACAGCUCAAAUUUGAAAUCUGGCUCUUUUAGGGCCCGAGUUGUAAUUUGUAGAGGAUGCUUCGGCGUCGGCUCCGGUCUAAGUUCCUUGGAACAGGACGUCAUAGAGGGUGAGAAUCCCGUAUGUGAUCGGUUGCCUUUGCCAUGUGAAGCCCCUUCGACGAGUCGAGUUGUUUGGGAAUGCAGCUCUAAAUGGGAGGUAAAUUUCUUCUAAAGCUAAAUACUGGCCAGAGACCGAUAGCGCACAAGUAGAGUGAUCGAAAGAUGAAAAGCACUUUGGAAAGAGAGUUAAACAGUACGUGAAAUUGCUGAAAGGGAAACGCUUGAAGUCAGUCGCGUCUGCCAGGACUCAGCCUUGCUUCUGCUUGGUGCACUUUCUGGUUUGAUGGGCCAACAUCAAUUUCGACCGUUGGAGAAAGGCUUUGGGAAUGUGGCACCUUUGGGUGUGUUAUAGCCCUUUGUCAUAUACGGCGGUUGGGAUUGAGGACCGCAGCACGCCUUCAUGGCCGGGGUUCGCCCACGUACGUGCUUAGGAUGUUGGCAUAAUGGCUUUAAGCGACCCGUCUUGAAACACGG
rnacentral:rRNA from 1 species